rnacentral:misc_RNA from 1 species
GAUGAAGAACGUAGCGAAAUGCGAUAAGUAAUGUGAAUUGCAGAAUUCAGUGAAUCAUCGAAUCUUUGAACGCACAUUGCGCCCGUCAGUAUUCUGGCGGGCAUGCCUGUUCGAGCGUCAUUACGCCCCUCAAGUCCCCUUUGGACUUGGUGUUGGGGAUCGGCGAGGCUGGUUUUCCAGCACAGCCGUCCCUUAAAUUAAUUGGCGGUCUCGCCGUGGCCCUCCUCUGCGCAGUAGUAAAACACUCGCAACAGGAGCCCGGCGCGGUCCACUGCCGUAAAACCCCCCAACUUUUUAUAGUUGACCUCGAAUCAGGUAGGACUACCCGCUGAACUUAAGCAUAUCAAUAAGCGGAGGA